UCUGUUUUUUGAGUGUUUCAAAUAUUAAAGGUGCCUGUUCCUUUAGUAUCUAACUGCAGAGAAGCAAGGUCAGAUUAAUUUUGUUCACUGUAACAGUGACUGAACCUGAAAUAUCUCCUUUUAGCAUCCAACAUUUUUAUCCUUUAGCAGCCUUGGUAUUUUGGAUUUAAAUUACCUCUGCAUUUAGGAUUUUAAGCUAUUAGUUUAAGUGCAAACAUGGAGUAUGUUGGCUACCUUUGUGAUAAAAAUCAGCAGAGCUAUUUAAUUUCUCUUGUUCACAAACUUUGAGGGAUUUUGCAAAAUAUUUUUUCUUAAAGCUUGCCUGGAAUACAAAUGGAAAGACUGGGUAUUGCUAUAGUGCGAGAGCAUUCCUGUUGACUAUCAGUGUUUUAGUAGCUUGUCAGCUAAAUGUUAAAAAAAAAAUCUUAAACCUUUGCACACUGAAGUCGUAGUUUCACUUUGGGAGAAUGUGCACAUUGACAAUAUAAACCCUAUGAGCUUAAGCUUAGUGGACUACUUAAACUUGUCUUCUAACACCUUGAGCCUUUUACUGAAAGUAAAACGAUGAUGAAUUUGUGAAAUUCAGUUUUUUUUUCCUGAACACAUAUCUUGCUGCAUGGAAACACUAACACCAGGGACAGCCUAUGUGAUUGACAGAUGAACUUAAUGAAAAGAUGAGGGGAGUGCCCAACUCACUUUUUAUAGCUCUGCAAGUCAGUGUGUGCUCAUUUAGUCAGUUCAUUGUAAGCUGUGAAACUUUCCAAAUACAUAUUCAUUUAUUUGUCUCAACUGACUUCAGUUUAGUUAUGGUAAUGAAUAUUCAUGUAAAACAUUGAGUCUUUUCCAUUAAAACAACAUUGCAGUCAAAAA